rnacentral:rRNA from 1 species
CCUACGGGAGGCAGCAGUGGGGAAUAUUGCACAAUGGGGGAAACCCUGAUGCAGCGACGCCGCGUGAGUGAAGAAGUAAUUCGUUAUGUAAAGCUCUAUCAGCAGGGAAGAAAAUGACGGUACCUGCGUAAGAAGCCCCGGCUAACUACGUGCCAGCAGCCGCGGUAAUACGUAGGGGGCAAGCGUUAUCCGGAUUUACUGGGGGUAAAGGGAGCGUAGACGGCAGUGCAAGUCUGGAGUGAAAGGCGGGGGCACAACCCCCGGACUGCUCUGGAAACUGUACGGCUGGAGUGCAGGAGAGGUAAGUGGAAUUCCUAGUGUAGCGGUGAAAUGCGUAGAUAUUAGGAGGAACACCAGUGGCGAAGGCGGCUUACUGGACUGUAACUGACGUUGAGGCUCGAGAGCGUGGGGAGCAAACAGGAUUAGAUACCCCAGUAGUC